UGCAGCUGCGCAGGGAGCACAAAGCGAACUAUUCUUUCGCCUUUUACUAAAGAAUACCGCUUGCUCUUUGCAAAUAUAACGGUAUACGCUUAUUUUUGGAGGAGUCUGUCCUGAUGGGGAUU
rnacentral:snRNA from 1 species